CAGCAGUGAUUGCAGCCCCAUCCCUACCAUCUUGAUUCCAGCUCCAGAGAUUUCAGCCCCACAGCUUUUAUUCCAGCUCCAUUCCCAGCCCUACAGUUUUUAUUUCAGCUCUGGCCCUACAGUAUUUAUUUCAGCUCCAGCCGCAGUCGUCCUUCAGCCCCAGGUCUGUCACAUCUCAGCUCCAGCCCCACAGCAGUGAUUUCAGCCCCAGCCCUGCCAUCUUUAUUCAAGCUCUGAGAUUUCAGCUCUGGCCCUAUGCUCUGUAUUUCAGCUGCAUUCCCAGCCCCACAGCAGUGAUUUGAGCCCCAGCCCAAAAGUUUUUAUUUCGCCUCCAGUUCUACGGCAUUUCAGCCCCACAGCAGUGAUUGCAGCCCCAGCCCUACCAUCUUUAUUCCAGCUCUGAGUGAUUUCAGUUCUGAUCCUACAGAUUUUAUUUCAGCUCCAGGUUCGGUGUUUCAGCUCCAGCCGCAGUCGUUCUUCAGCCCCAGCUCUGUCACAUCUCAGCCGCAGCCCCACAGCAGUGAUUUCAGCUCCAACCCUGCCAUCCUGAUUUCAUCUCCCACCCUACAGUAGCUAUUGAACCCCAGGAUUUCCACUCCAGGCCUGUGCUGUUUCCCCUCCCACCCACCCACUCUUCAUUUCACCCCCCCCAGCCUCACAGACUUUCUUACGGCUCCAGCUCUGCGUUGUUUCAGCUCCAGCCCUGCAGUGUUUAGCUCAGCCUCAGCUCUACAUCUUCCUGCUGCCUCCGUGUUCUCACAGCAGCUCUGGGGGCUGUUGAUAAGGUAGUAAGUCAAUCACUGUCAUCACUCAACUAUCAAAACUGUCCCACUGUGUCUGUGCCCUGAAUAAAGUGUUCCUGUUGUGUGUGUGUCCCCAUUUCAGAGGGGAGUUUGGCCUGGUGCAUGCUGGCAUCCCGUGUUUCAGGGGCAAAUAAAACCAGACCCCCACCUCUGCUUGUUUUCAGGCCCAGAAACACAGCACUCUGGGGACUUUUGGAGCAGCUGAACCCCAGGACUGAGCUGGGCUGUUCAGCCCCAACCACAGAACUUCAUCCUCCUUUGGGGGGCUGGAAACACCCUUGAGGCUGCUGCUGUGGCCCAUGUGUGAAGGGAAAGGGGGGCCACAGCCCAGGGAGUGCUUGGGAACUGCGGGCACCCACCCAGACAGGGAAAGCUUUAUUGCACUUUAUUCCACUUGAUUUUUCAAUUAUUGUUAUGCAUUACACUUCUUGUAAUAAACCAACACAAUAGCUUUAUUAGCAGUACUAGUUACAGUAUUGUUUAAAAGCCAAGCGCGCCCCCCUCCCCCCACCCGCGGCAACAUCCGCGGGGAGCCGGGCCCGGGAACCCCCACGCAGCCCGGCCGCGCCCCGACCCCCCACCCGACCCCCGCUGGGGCUCGGCACCCGCCCCCUGUAGCGGCCGGCGCCCCUCCUCGCUCGGCGCCGCUCCGGCCGCCGCUGCCCGACACAAGCGGGGAAGAGCCAACAGAACGCGACCUGGCUGUCACGCCGGGCACGGACCCAAGCGGCACCCCCGUCCCAGGGCAUCGCCCGCCCGGGCCGCGUCUCCCCGACCACCUCCCGCCCGGCGCCGUCGACCGCAAGGCUCCCGCCCCCGGAACGCACCGCGAACCCGCCCGCACAGUGGCUCGGGCCCGGUCAGACGCAGGGGGCCCACGGCCGGACACUACUGCCCGCCGCCCCAGGACUGAGCUGUUCAGCCCCAAACACAGCACUUAGUCCUCGCUUGGGGGGGGCUGGCUGGAAACACCCCCCGGGGCUGCUGCUCCUCUGGCCCAUGUGUGAGGGGGAAGGCACCCGCCCAGGGCCCCGGGCAGGGAGUGCUUGGGAACUGGGGGGGGGGGGGGGGGGGGGGGGCGGCAGGGGGCACCUCCCGCGGGGAGGAACCGGCCCUGGGGCACUGGGGGCAGCACCCACCCACCCCCCCCCGGGGAAAGCUUUAUUGCACUGGAUUACACUUUAUUAUCGCACCGUUACGGUUACACAGCGUGCUUACAGGACCAUCAUAAACCAGCAAGAGUUCUUUAUUCUCUGUAGUUGCAGCAGUAUUUAAG